GGAUAAACCGGAGGAAGGCGGGGAUGACGUCAAGUCCUCAUGGCCCUUACAUCCCGGGCUACACACGUGCUACAAUGGCAGGUACAGAGGGCUGCGAAGCCGCGAGGUGGAGCGAAUCCCAGAAAACCUGUCUCAGUCCGGAUUGAAGUCUGCAACUCGACUUCAUGAAGGCGGAAUCGCUAGUAACCGCGAAUCAGCAGGUCGCGGUGAAUACGUUCCCGGGCCUU
rnacentral:rRNA from 1 species